rnacentral:misc_RNA from 1 species
UGUACAAACAAAGUUGAAUAACCAAUCAAAGCGUAAUAAUAAACAAUACGAAGAGAGUGAUAGAUCUUCCCGUGGAGACAACGAACGGAUGGUAAGGGUCUGAUACCGAAUUAGCAAAGUCGGACGUUAGAACAGCAGAAACGGAGAAAAGAAAUGACCUAAACCGCGUUCUAUUUUGAACGAAAAUGGUAUUAAUUUUAUUGUUUUGCCUUUGAUAUCAAUAAGUUAGGAGCUUA